rnacentral:rRNA from 1 species
UACGUAGGGUGCAAGCGUUGUCCGGAAUCACUGGGCGUAAAGGGUGCGUAGGUGGCGCUGUAAGUCAGGUGUGAAAUCUCGGGGCUCAACCCCGAAACUGCACUUGAUACUGCGGUGCUUGAGUACUGGAGAGGAGAUUGGAAUUUACGGUGUAGCAGUGAAAUGCGUAGAUAUCGUAAGGAAGACCAGUGGCGAAGGCGAAUCUCUGGACAGUUACUGACACUGAGGCACGAAGGCUAGGGGAGCAAACAGG